GGAACUUCUGCAUCGAGUGUGAUCACUCAGCAAAGCUGGGCAGACAUGCUUAACCAAAACUAUGAUUCAUCAGAAGAAGAGGAGUUGGAAAUGCAAAGGAGAAACGCUGAACACAAGAGCUGGAGGGACAAUGAAAGUCGUCUACGUCGCAUGCAUUUAAGGAUAGAAGCUGCAUUCAACAAUUCUUGUUCUGAUUCCGAUGAUCC
rnacentral:misc_RNA from 1 species